rnacentral:rRNA from 1 species
UACGAAGGGGGGCUAGCGUUGCUCGGAAUCACUGGGCGUAAAGGGUGCGUAGGCGGGUCUUUAAGUCAGGGGUGAAAUCCUGGAGCUCAACUCCAGAACUGCCUUUGAUACUGAGGAUCUUGAGUCCGGGAGAGGUGAGUGGAACUGCGAGUGUAGAGGUGAAAUUCGUAGAUAUUCGCAAGAACACCAGUGGCGAAGGCGGCUCACUGGCCCGGUACUGACGCUGAGGCACGAAAGCGUGGGAGCAAACAGGG